GCCCUUGUAGCUCAGUUGGCAGAGCGUCUCCCCUGUAAGGAGGUGGUCGCGGGUUCGAAUCCAUGCCAAGGGCACCA
rnacentral:tRNA from 1 species